CUUGGGAGGAUAAGGCAGGAAGAUCAUAAGUUGGAAAAUUCUGCUCUCUGGACUUUCAGUGUGUAAAGAGGCAUUUGAGUUGUAACACGAAAGAACUCAUAGCUUGAAACAACCAAAACACACUGCAGAGGCAGUUUAUUUGGAGAUUCCAAUCCAGCUGUGGCAGGUAACCUACGAUGUGACUUUCAUUUUGCAAGUCACCAACUGCUUGGAGCCUCAACUUUCUCAUCUGCAAAAUGGGGCUGAAUGAAACCAUGAGGCUCAAUGCCUUUGAGGGUCCCAGUGUUCUCAAUCCACUGGUGCGGAGUGACCACUUGCUGCCAAGAAAGCAGAUGAGAACACAUUUGUGGACCGAUUCUGUGUACAAGCUGGGGAUC